rnacentral:rRNA from 1 species
CAGCCGCGGUAAAUUCCAGCUCCAAUAGCGUAUAUUAAAGUUGUUGCAGUUAAAAAGCUCGUAGUUGAAUUUCAGGCCUGGCUGGACGGUCCGCCCUUCGGGUGAGUACUGUCUGUGGUCGGGUCCUACCUUCUGGCGAAGCGUCAUGGCCUUAACCGGCCGUGGCGGGGAACCAGGACUUUUACUGUGAAAAAAUUAGAGUGUUCAAAGCAGGCAAUCGCUUGGAUACAUUAGCAUGGAAUAAUGGAAUAGGACAAUGGUUCUAUUUGUUGGUUUCUAGGACCGUUGUAAUGAUUAAUAGGGAUAGUUGGGGGCAUUAGUAUUCAAUUGUCAGAGGUGAAAUUCUUGGAUUUAUUGAAGACUAACUACUGCGAAAGCAUUUGCCAAGGAUGUUUUCAUUAAUCAAGAACGAAAGUUAGGGGAUCGAAGACGAUCAGAUACCGUCGUAGUCUUAACCAUAAACUAUGCCGACUAGGGAUCGGAUGAUGUUAAUUUUUUAAUGACUCAUUCGGCGCCUUACG